rnacentral:rRNA from 1 species
GGAGCGUUCUGUAAGCCUGCGAAGGUGUGCUGUGAGGCAUGCUGGAGGUAUCAGAAGUGCGAAUGCUGACAUAAGUAACGAUAAAGCGGGUGAAAAGCCCGCUCGCCGGAAGACCAAGGGUUCCUGUCCAACGUUAAUCGGGGCAGGGUGAGUCGACCCCUAAGGCGAGGCCGAAAGGCGUAGUCGAUGGGAAACAGGUUAAUAUUCCUGUACUUGGUGUUACUGCGAAGGGGGGACGGAGAAGGCUAUGUUGGCCGGGCGACGGUUGUCCCGGUUUAAGCGUGUAGGCUGGUUUUCCAGGCAAAUCCGGAAAAUCAAGGCUGAGGCGUGAUGACGAGGCACUACGGUGCUGAAGCAACAAAUGCCCUGCUUCCAGGAAAAGCCUCUAAGCAUCAGGUAACAUCAAAUCGUACCCCAAACCGACACAGGUGGUCAGGUAGAGAAUACCAAGGCGCUUGAGAGAACUCGGGUGAAGGAACUAGGCAAAAUGGUGCCGUAACUUCGGGAGAAGGCACGCUGAUAUGUAGGUGAAGUCCCUUGCGGAUGGAGCUGAAAUCAGUCGAAGAUACCAGCUGGCUGCAACUGUUUAUUAAAAACACAGCACUGUGCAAACACGAAAGUGGACGUAUACGGUGUGACGCCUGCCCGGUGCCGGAAGGUUAAUUGAUGGGGUCAGCGCAAGCGAAGCUCUUGAUCGAAGCCCCGGUAAACGGCGGCCGUAACUAUAACGGUCCUAAGGUAGCGAAAUUCCUUGUCGGGUAAGUUCCGACCUGCACGAAUGGCGUAAUGAUGGCCAGGCUGUCUCCACCCGAGACUCAGUGAAAUUGAACUCGCUGUGAAGAUGCAGUGUACCCGCGGCAAGACGGAAAGACCCCGUGAACCUUUACUAUAGCUUGACACUGAACAUUGAGCCUUGAUGUGUAGGAUAGGUGGGAGGCUUUGAAGUGUGGACGCCAGUCUGCAUGGAGCCGGCCUUGAAAUACCACCCUUUAAUGUUUGAUGUUCUAACGUGGACCCGUGAUCCGGGUUGCGGACAGUGUCUGGUGGGUAGUUUGACUGGGGCGGUCUCCUCCUAAAGAGUAACGGAGGAGCACGAAGGUUGGCUAAUCCUGGUCGGACAUCAGGAGGUUAGUGCAAUGGCAUAAGCCAGCUUGACUGCGAGCGUGACGGCGCGAGCAGGUGCGAAAGCAGGUCAUAGUGAUCCGGUGGUUCUGAAUGGAAGGGCCAUCGCUCAACGGAUAAAAGGUACUCCGGGGAUAACAGGCUGAUACCGCCCAAGAGUUCAUAUCGACGGCGGUGUUUGGCACCUCGAUGUCGGCUCAUCACAUCCUGGGGCUGAAGUAGGUCCCAAGGGUAUGGCUGUUCGCCAUUUAAAGUGGUACGCGAGCUGGGUUUAGAACGUCGUGAGACAGUUCGGUCCCUAUCUGCCGUGGGCGCUGGAGAACUGAGGGGGGCUGCUCCUAGUACGAGAGGACCGGAGUGGACGCAUCACUGGUGUUCGGGUUGUCAUGCCAAUGGCACUGCCCGG